UGAUUCCUAUAUACCCCCCAAACCUCAUUGGCGGGGGUAUAACAAAUGAUAUGCUAUAAUUAAUUGCUUUAGCUGGUUUUAUGGAAAGUGGCCAACCUCUCUUUGUGGCUUCAUCCAACCAUGGAAUCAUGAUUGAAACAGACUUGAACUUACAAUACUUAAGAAUGCAACUACACACUUUUAUGAUAAUCAGCUGUUUUGUGUUUAUGUUUAUGUGUGACGUCAUAGCGCGUGACAGGAUGUGUAGUGUCGUCUGCGAAGUUAAAGAGACGCCAGGGAUUGGAGAGGAAAGACUAUUAAACAUUCAGGAAUCCUCGGUAAUUCGGCCAUGUCGUGCGGGAUCCAGUUGUGAAUAUUGGACUGGCCUUAACGUUUGAAAAACUGUGAUCUUCCUGUGAACUGUGAUUUGUCCGAGUGCGCGUAUCGUCCCUUAAAAAUGCACCGUCCUGUCGCCAUUUAAUCAGCUCAGCAUCUGUGAAACUGUGUUAAGAUUAAUUGAUUCUGUAUUUGUUUAUCGUUUGUGUGUUUUGAUAUAUGUGUAAUCUUUUAAAUGUGUAAACGUU
rnacentral:sRNA from 1 species